rnacentral:rRNA from 1 species
AGAAUCAACGCUGGCGGCGUGCCUAACACAUGCAAGUCGAACGAGAAAGGGGAGCAAUCCCUGAGUACAGUGGCGACCGGGUGAGUAACACGUGACUAACCUACCCUCGAGUGUGGAAUAACAUCGGGAAACCGAUGCUAAUACCGCAUAACAUCGCAAGAUCAAAGGAGUAAUCCGCUUGAGGAGGGGGUCGCGGCUGAUUAGCUAGUUGGCGGGGUAAUGGCCCACCAAGGCGAAGAUCGGUA